rnacentral:pre_miRNA from 1 species
CUCAGGGCGGGGGGGGUCCCUUAUCCCAGAUUGCGGGAAGGUGCAGGUCAGGCCAAGGGACCCCACCGGUGCACG